rnacentral:rRNA from 1 species
CCUACGGGGUGCACCAGUGGGGAAUAUUGCACAAUGGGCGCAAGCCUGAUGCAGCCAUGCCGCGUGUGUGAAGAAGGCCUUCGGGUUGUAAAGUACUUUCAGCGGGGAGGAAGGCGAUAAGGUUAAUAACCUUGCCGAUUGUCGUUACCCGCAGAAGAAGCACCGGCUAACUCCGCGCCAGCAGCCGCGGUAAUACGGAGGGUGCAAGCGUUAAUCGGAAUUACUGGGCGUAAAGCGCACGCAGGCGGUCUGUCAAGUCAGAUGUGAAAUCCCCGGGCUCAACCUGGGAACUGCAUUCGAAACUGGCAGGCUAGAGUCUUGUAGAGGGGGGUAGAAUUCCAGGUGUAGCGGUGAAAUGCGUAGAGAUCUGGAGGAAUACCGGUGGCGAAGGCGGCCCCCUGGACAAAGACUGACGCUCAGGUGCGAAAGCGUGGGGAGCAAACAGGAUUAGAUACCCCUGUAGUC